UACGGUUGCAAAGCUGAAACUUAAAGGAAUUGACGGAAGGGCACCACCAGGAGUGGAGCCUGUGGCUUAAUUUGACUCAACACGGGAAACCUCACCCGGUCCGGACACUGGAAGGAUUGACAGACUAAAGCUCUUUCUUGAUUCAGUGGGUGGUGGUGCAUGGCCGUUCUUAGUUGGUGGAGUGAUUUGUCUGGUUAAUUCCGAUAACGAACGAGACUCUCGCCUGCUAAAUAGUUUUCCAUACGUUAGGUUAUGGAACGUAAACUUCUUAGAGGUACAAGUGGCGUUUAGCCACACGAAACAGAGCAAUAACAGGUCUGUGAUGCCCUUAGAUGUCCGGGGCCGCACAUGUGCUACAAUGAAUGCAUCAACGUGUAUCAGCCUCGCCCGAAAGGGUUGGGGAAUCCGCUGAACGGCAUUCUCAGUAGGGAUUGGGGAUUGCAAUUAUUUCCCAUGAACACGGAAUUCCCAGUAGGCGCCAGUCAUCAGCUGGCGUCGAUUGAGUCCCUGCCCUUUGUACACACCGCCCGUCGCUACUACCGAUCGCUCUUGUUAAUGAGCUUGUCAGAUUGGACCCGGUGAGCAGUCGUUGGUUUCAUCUCCUCGCGGGGUGUGCCUUCGUCUGCGAGCUUUUGGUGUAUGCCGAGAAGAUCGGCAAAUUAUCUGGAGUAGAGGAAGUAAAAGUCGUAACAAGGUAUCCGUAGGUGAACCUGCGGAUGNNNNNNNNNNAAGAAAAGAAAAUAAAAAGCUCCGGGAAGGGAAACCCGGUSUUACAAAAACUCCCAGUAAGACACGUACUACUCUGUGCGGUGGAUCACUCGGCUCGUGUGUCGAUGAAGAGCGCAGCUAGCUGCGAGAAGUAAUGUGAAUUGCAGAACCACACUGAAACAUCGACAUCUUGAACGCACAUGGCGGCCUCCGGGUCACUCCGGAGGCCACGUCUGUCUGAGGGUCGGCUUUGUAGUCAUUCUGAGUCUGCGGUCACCGAACGAACGAACGGGAGUAGAUGAAUACAUCUACCCCGAAUYAUUUAUAGUGUUCGGCGUCCGCCUGGGAGUUUCUCGGUAAAGAAGGAGCCGCCGGGUGGCGAGUUACUGAACAAACCCUCGGAGCGAGCUCAGCUCAUUGUAUUAUACAGUGUCGUACACACUACACGAUACAGAGAGAGAAAAACACCCGAGACAAACUCGUCUGUUUCCUCAAAGUCGGGGAACGGUCACGCAAGCCGACCUCAGAUCAG
rnacentral:rRNA from 1 species